UGUACUCCAUGAUCCCCUUCAUGUGGAGAUUCUGAAAGUAGGUGGCCUCUGCGGUGGCUUCGGAAUGACUCUCCCUCAACCUGCGAAGCUCAUCUUUCAUCUUCUUCGACCUUUUUGUUAAAUGGAGGACUUUCUUUUUCAGCCGCUAGAUUGUAGAUUUUAGCGGAAUCCCCUGAGGCAAGGGAAGCUCUUCGACGGGGCACUGCCAUCGGGAGGUCAACGCGUUAAAAUGCAGCUCAUUACAAAGAAGAAGAAAGAAAGAAAGAAAAAGAAGAGAAGAAAAGUCCCCCAAAAGGAGGAGACCAAUUUUAUUGACUGAACGUUUCUUGAAGACAAAAGAAAAAAGAAAAAUGGCAAUAAAGGAAGA
rnacentral:lncRNA from 1 species